rnacentral:rRNA from 1 species
UACGUAGGGUGCGAGCGUUAAUCGGAAUUACUGGGCGUAAAGGGUGCGCAGGCGGUUCUGCAAGUCAGGCGUGAAAGCCCCGGGCUUAACCUGGGAAUGGCAUUUGGGACUGCAAGGCUGGAGUGUGGCAGAGGAGACUGGAAUUCCCGGUGUAGCAGUGAAAUGCGUAGAUAUCGGGAGGAAUACCGAUGGCGAAGGCAGGUCUCUGGGCUGACACUGACGCUCAUGCACGAAAGCGUGGGGAGCAAACAGG